rnacentral:rRNA from 1 species
GAUGAACGCUGACAGAAUGCUUAACACAUGCAAGUCAACCUGUGGUGGACGGGGGAGAAACGCGUAAAGAACUUGCAUCAAAGAUAGGGACAACGUUAGGAAACGAAAGCUAAUACAAGAGACUGUGAGAGAGCUUUGCGUCCCAUUAGCAUGUUGGAGAGGUAAGGGCUCACCAAGGCGAUGAUGGGUAGCCGGCCUGAGAGGGUGAUCGGCCACAAGGGGACUGGGACGCGAGCCUUAGUCCUACGGGAGGCAUCAGUGGGGGAUUUUUGACGAAGGACCAAUGUCUGAUCCAGCAAUUCUGUUUGCACGAUGAUUUUUUCGGAAUGAAAACUGCUUUCAGUUUGGAAGCGGUACCAACAGAAGAAGUGACGGCUAAAUACGUGCCAGCAGCCGCGGUAAUUC